GAACACAUAGUUUAAUGGAAGAACGAUUGAUUUUCACUCUUUAAAUACAGGUUCGAAUCCUGUUGUGUUCA
rnacentral:tRNA from 1 species